rnacentral:rRNA from 1 species
CGCCCGCCGCGCGCGGCGGGCGGGGCGGGGGCACGGGGGGCCUACGGGAGGCAGCAGUGAAUCUUCCACAAUGGACGCAAGUCUGAUGGAGCAACGCCGCGUGAGUGAAGAAGGUUUUCGGAUCGUAAAGCUCUGUUGUUGGUGAAGAAGGAUAGAGGCAGUAACUGGUCUUUAUUUGACGGUAAUCAACCAGAAAGUCACGGCUAACUACGUGCCAGCAGCCGCGGUAAU